AGACCCGAAACCCGGUGAUCUAGCCAUGGGCAGGUUGAAGGUUGGGUAACACUAACUGGAGGACCGAACCGACUAAUGUUGAAAAAUUAGCGGAUGACCUGUGGCUGGGGGUGAAAGGCCAAUCAAACCGGGAGAUAGCUGGUUCUCCCCGAAAGCUAUUUAGGUAGCGCCUCGUGAAUUCAUCUCCGGGGGUAGAGCACUGUUUCGGCUAGGGGGCCAUCCCGGCUUACCAACCCGAUGCAAACUGCGAAUACCGGAGAAUGUUAUCACGGGAGACACACGGCGGGUGCUAACGUCCGUCGUGAAGAGGGAAACAACCCAGACCGCCAGCUAAGGUCCCAAAGUCAUGGUUAAGUGGGAAACGAUGUGGGAAGGCCCAGACAGCCAGGAUGUUGGCUUAGAAGCAGCCAUCAUUUAAAGAAAGCGUAAUAGCUCACUGGUCGAGUCGGCCUGCGCGGAAGAUGUAACGGGGCUAAACCAUGCACCGAAGCUGCGGCAGCGACACUGUGUGUUGUUGGGUAGGGGAGCGUUCUGUAAGCCUGUGAAGGUGUGUCGUGAGGCAUGCUGGAGGUAUCAGAAGUGCGAAUGCUGACAUAAGUAACGAUAAAGCGGGUGAAAAGCCCGCUCGCCGGAAGACCAAGGGUUCCUGUCCAACGUUAAUCGGGGCAGGGUGAGUCGACCCCUAAGGCGAGGCCGAAAGGCGUAGUCGAUGGGAAACGGGUUAAUAUUCCCGUACUUGGUGUUACUGCGAAGGGGGGACGGAGAAGGCUAUGUUGGCCGGGCGACGGUUGUCCCGGUUUAAGCGUGUAGGUGUGUGUUCCAGGUAAAUCCGGUUCACUUUAACACUGAGGCGUGACGACGAGGCACUACGGUGCUGAAGCAACAAAUGCCCUGCUUCCAGGAAAAGCCUCUAAGCAUCAGGUAACAUCAAAUCGUACCCCAAACCGACACAGGUGGUCAGGUAGAGAAUACCAAGGCGCUUGAGAGAACUCGGGUGAAGGAACUAGGCAAAAUGGUGCCGUAACUUCGGGAGAAGGCACGCUGACACGUAGGUGAAGUGAUUUACUCAUGGAGCUGAAGUCAGUCGAAGAUACCAGCUGGCUGCAACUGUUUAUUAAAAACACAGCACUGUGCAAACACGAAAGUGGACGUAUACGGUGUGACGCCUGCCCGGUGCCGGAAGGUUAAUUGAUGGGGUC
rnacentral:rRNA from 1 species